UGAUUGAUUGAUUGAUUGUUGGUUGCUUAACGUCCAGUGGCAAAUAUUGCAUGCAUAUUCAGGACGAGAACAAGUUCACAAUAAAUACAAUAGGUAGGUUGUUGUAAUAGAGGCCUUCUAGGAUGAUGGUAGGGGAAAUUUGGACUGCCACUGGAAAAUGAGGGUAUAUUGGAUAGGGACAGACAUUUUGCCUUGCAACAGGCCACCUACGGAC
rnacentral:lncRNA from 1 species